rnacentral:rRNA from 1 species
AUUGAACGCUAGCGGGAUGCCUUACACAUGCAAGUCGAACGGAGUGGCGAACGGGUGAGUAAUGUCUAGGAACGUGCCCAGUAGCGGGGGAUAACUACGAGAAAGCGUAGCUAAUACUGCAUACUAUCGGCGCGGCCGAUAUCGGAUUAGCUAGUUGGUGGGGUAACGUCCAACCAAGGCGACGAUCCCUAGCCGGUUUGAGAGGAAGACCAGCCACACUGGGACUGAGACACGGCCCAGACUCCUACGGGAGGCAGCAGUGGGGAAUUUUGGACAAUGGGCGAAACCCUGAUCCAGCCAUCCCGCGUGUGUGAUGAAGGCCUUCGGGUUGUAAAGCACUUUUGGCAGGAAAGCGGUACCUGCAGAAUAAGCACCGGCUAACUACGUGCCAGCAGCCGCGGUAAUAC